UGGAAAGGUGCUGUGUGCAUUCUAUGA
rnacentral:piRNA from 1 species